rnacentral:rRNA from 2 species
AGAGUCUGAUGGAGCACGCCGCGUGAGUGAAGAAGGGUUUCGGCUCGUAAAACUCUGUUGUUAAAGAAGAACAUAUCUGAGAGUAACUGUUCAGGUAUUGACGGUAUUUAACCAGAAAGCCACGGCUAACUACGUGCCAGCAGCCGCGGUAAUACGUAGGUGGCAAGCGUUGUCCGGAUUUAUUGGGCGUAAAGCGAGCGCAGGCGGUUUUUUAAGUCUGAUGUGAAAGCCUUCGGCUCAACCGAAGAAGUGCAUCGGAAACUGGGAAACUUGAGUGCAGAAGAGGACAGUGGAACUCCAUGUGUAGCGGUGAAAUGCGUAGAUAUAUGGAAGAACACCAGUGGCGAAGGCGGCUGUCUGGUCUGUAACUGACGCUGAGGCUCGAAAGUAUGGGUAGCAAACAGGAUUAGAUACCCUGGUAGUCCAUACCGUAAACGAUGAAUGCUAAGUGUUGGAGGGUUUCCGCCCUUCAGUGCUGCAGCUAACGCAUUAAGCAUUCCGCCUGGGGAGUACGGCCGCAAGGCUGAAACUCAAAGGAAUUGACGGGGGCCCGCACAAGCGGUGGAGCAUGUGGUUUAAUUCGAAGCUACGCGAAGAACCUUACCAGGUCUUGACAUACUAUGCAAAUCUAAGAGAUUAGACGUUCCCUUCGGGGACAUGGAUACAGGUGGUGCAUGGUUGUCGUCAGCUCGUGUCGUGAGAUGUUGGGUUAAGUCCCGCAACGAGCGCAACCCUUAUUAUCAGUUGCCAGCAUUAAGUUGGGCACUCUGGUGAGACUGCCGGUGACAAACCGGAGGAAGGUGGGGAUGACGUCAAAUCAUCAUGCCCCUUAUGACCUGGGCUACACACGUGCUACAAUGGAUGGUACAACGAGUUGCGAACUCGCGAGAGUAAGCUAAUCUCUUAAAGCCAUUCUCAGUUCGGAUUGUACG